GAAGCUGGCUAGACAGUCGCUGCACGCUGAUGUUGUGCAGAGGAAAGUCCGGGCUCCAUAGAGCAGGAUGCCGGUUAACGACCGGACGCCGUGAGGCGAUGGAAAGUGCCACAGAAAAUACACCGCCGAUGGCUGCGCAAGCAGUACAGGCAAGGUUGAAAUGGCGAGGUAAGAGCUCACCGCGCUGGUGGCAACAUCAGCGGCAGGGUAAACCCCAUCCGGAGCAAGACCAAAUAGGCUGGCCAUGACGUUGCUCGCGUCGCCAGCGGGUAGGUUGCUUGAGCGUCAGGUAACGAAACGCCUAGAGGAAUGACUGUCCACGACAGAACCCGGCUUACCGGCUGGCUUCACCU
rnacentral:RNase_P_RNA from 1 species